GACAUUGCAGACCGCUCAUCCCGGUCUUACUGAGGGUGUCCUCAUUCUCAGACCACUCCCCGGAUCCUGCAAAAAUGAUACUGAUUGAUCAAAAUUCGGGGUGACCCCCAGUUAUACGCGGAGGCCUACUGAGUGGCAAUAAGUGUACUGUUGUACGAUCCUGUCUCCCACGGACCGAAAGGGUGUGAACCAACAUGUCGGACUUACCUCAAUAUCUCCGACCGAUUUUCAGGCGAGGAUUAUGGCUGCCAUGACAGCCCCGGGGGAAGAAGUCCUCUCCAGUAUGCUGGCUAACAACCCAUCCGACAGAGCGGGUGCAACGGCAGCAACACCAAUGGAAGAUUGAGAUACCGACGUUAGGUCGGACACCCAUCAUCAGGGGACGAGGACUUCAUCCUUCCCCCCCUUCUCUGGAGAUCAUGAAAGAAUGGAGGGCAGAAGAGGUAAAAGUGACAAGACACGCCUAGCAAGAAAGGUUUUUUCUUUGGCACGCUGGACACUCCUAUUUUGACUCACGCACCAUCCGACAAGCAGGGUCAUCCGAAUGGGGUUAACUGGAGCACCGGGCCCACUUCUGGCUUAGGAGGCCUAUGGGAAAAGAAAUCCGAGACCGGCUCAGGAUGGAAUGCCCACGCCCUCUAUGUCCGAACAAGAUAGUCC